rnacentral:rRNA from 1 species
CCUACGGGCGGCAGCAGUGAGGAAUAUUGGUCGAUGGGCGCGAGCCUGAACCAGCCAAGUCGCGUGAGGGAAGACGGCCCUACGGGUUGUAAACCUCUUUUGCCGGGGAGCAACGGGCGCCACGUGUGGCGCCACUGCGAGUACCCGGAGAAAAAGCAUCGGCUAACUCCGUGCCAGCAGCCGCGGUAAUCCGGGGGAUGCGAGCGUUCUCCGGAUUGAUUGGGUUUAAAGGGGGCGUAGGCGGAGCGUUAAGUCAGUGGUAAAAUUGAGGGGCUCAACCCCUUCCCGCCAUUGAAACUGGCGCUCUUGAGUGGAAGAGAAGUAUGCGGAAGGCGUGGUGUAGCGGUGAAAUGCAUAGAUAUCACGCAGAACCCCGAUUGCGAAGGCAGCAUGCCGGAUUCCUACUGACGCUGAAGCACGAAAGCGUGGGGAUCGAACAGGAUUAGAUACCCCAGUAGUC